UUGCCUCUGUCUCUAAUCCCCUUGUUCAGUCACAACUCCCUGUUUACCCUCAUUACACCUAUCCACAUCCAUGCCAUGUAGAAUACCACCCCCUUGCGGACCAAUUGAAACUUCCUUCCUGAGCUACCUACUUCCCACCAAAACCUCUCUUUGCGACUAUUCCCUUAACGAUGCAUCCCAACCGAACUCAACAUCCUGAACUCCUAUUGUUAUUUUUAUCGGGCAAAAACCCUAACCAUGGCCUAACUUUCGGCACAAAGUAGCGUUAAUCUCUCAUACUGAAAAUAGGCAUAUCCCUUCCUAUUUAGUCCUAAAGCCAAUUUCUUCUUCCGCUUCAAAAAAAUUCUCACAUCAAUUUUAACUCUAAUUUGUAUAUACCUCUUUAUCCCCUUUGUCACCAGAGUAGCAUCGUACUGAACAAACUAUCUAAUAAAAUUCCCAAACUGUCGUGUCAAACCCUUAGAUGUGACCCCUACUGGCAAAUUAUGAACUUGGACUAAAAAAUUUGUAAAAACCAAAAAAACUUGCAACG
rnacentral:lncRNA from 1 species